UGCAUUCUCUACUGUAAGUUGCUCUGGAUAAGAGCGUCUGCUAAAUGAUGUUGG
rfam:Salmo salar isolate Sally breed double haploid chromosome ssa14, whole genome shotgun sequence.